CCAAUCGGUUGUUCUCCAAAUUCACCCCAUCGGCUUAACACCAGGCAGGCUUUUCUGACUCCCCAACACCUAAAAUGGCCUCGCAGACCCUGCGGACAUUAAGUUUCUGCUGGUGCUCAAAUAGUAAGAGGACUUUGUCCACUCUCAGUUUUGGAGCAAGUCAACAGGGGAGGUGCCUCCCCCUGCGAACCAUUCAGGCUUGGUGUACUGAUGGAUGGGUAUGCAUUUCUUAGGAAGAGAAGUGCUGGGUGCCAAGGGUAAUUCCAUGCACACACACUAUUCAAGAUCAAAGGCCAAAGACACAACCAGAGACUGGAGAAGAAGAAUCAGGAGGCAGCCAAGCUAAUGACUUAAACCCAGCACUGAUUGUGAUGCUUAAGACCUAAAAACACUUCAUUGCCAGCCUUGAAGGAAAUCAGACAAUGAGACCAGAAAACAUGAAAUAGAUGUUUCUUCUCCUAAGUAUCCAUAGGAAUUUGCCUCACAGCCCUCAAAUACCAAAUGUCAUAAGGAAGAAUUAGAACCAAUAGGAGGAACCACAAGAAAGAGGCCUCUAUGGAAGAAAUGGAGAUACAAAGCUUGAAGCCCUCAUUGGCAUGAAAUUUAUCUUGGCACCUUUAUUUUCUCACUAAACCACAUCAUUGACCUUGCAUGCUGGAGUUUAGAGUCCACAGGAUUUGCACUAUGCUUUGGGGGCAUAAUUGCAACAGAAAACUUGAGUUUCAAAGGCAAACAAUGGAAAUAAGCAACGAGCUCAUCUCCUUCUCAGACCUCUUCACCCUUCCCUUUUUCUUCUUCCCUUUUUCUUCCCUCCUCCCUCCUCUCCUCCCUCUU